CCAAGGCGACGAUCCAUAGCUGGUCUGAGAGGAUGAUCAGCCACAUUGGGACUGAGACACGGCCCAAACUCCUACGGGAGGCAGCAGUGGGGAAUAUUGGACAAUGGGCGCAAGCCUGAUCCAGCCAUGCCGCGUGAGUGAUGAAGGCCCUAGGGUUGUAAAGCUCUUUCAACGGUGAAGAUAAUGACGGUAACCGUAGAAGAAGCCCCGGCUAACUUCGUGCCAGCAGCCGCGGUAAUACGAAGGGGGCUAGCGUUGUUCGGAAUUACUGGGCGUAAAGCGCACGUAGGCGGAUAUUUAAGUCAGAGGUGAAAUCCCGGAGCUCAACUUCGGAACUGCCUUUGAUACUGGGUAUCUUGAGUAUGGAAGAGGUAAGUGGAAUUGCGAGUGUAGAGGUGAAAUUCGUAGAUAUUCGCAGGAACACCAGUGGCGAAGGCGGCUUACUGGUCCAUUACUGACGCUGAGGUGCGAAAGCGUGGGGAGCAAACAGGAUUAGA
rnacentral:rRNA from 1 species